rnacentral:lncRNA from 1 species
ACCGCAUUUGCACAAUAUCAGAAACACCAGCUUGUCUUGGUAGGGCACAGGCCAGUGGUAUUAGAUAAAGUUCUGUGGAGCUAUUCAAGCAGUAAAUUGAUGGGACAGAGAUUUAUCAUGGAGAAAAUCCACUAUAACAUCUAUUAUAUUAACAUCUAUUAUAUAACAUCUAUCAAUUAUAGAAAUAAUUGAUAGAACUAGAGAACAGAUAUGAAUUAAAAUGAUAGCUGAUCCAUUAAAGCACAGAAAACCAGAUGCCAGUUGAGAUUCACUCUACUUGAACGAGAUGUGCCUGAUCACUCUGCACAGGCCUGCAAGGAUGGAACGGGAUCCUGGCAGCAGUGUGUGCACAUACAACAGACAAUGCCAGAAAGACCUGAAGAGCAAACAAUGCUGUUCAACUCCUCCGCUCCCAUCGAAUAACAAUUUGGAAGGAAAAUGUGUCUCCAUGGCAAAUGAAAAUGAGAAAAACUGUCCAGAAAAGCAUCACGAGAGACUGCUCAGAUGAAAGACAGAGUGAAAGACCUAGUGAAUGCAAUAGAGUGAGUAUUCUGUAAUAUUUAUUAUUGCUACAAACGUGCUUAUUGAGGACCUAAAGUUUUGUUGCUUCUUAAAAAGAACACAGGUUUAUUAAAUGUAGAGAGAAGGGCAAUAAGAAUGGUUGGAGACUUCUCUAUAAGAAGGGUUAAAACAUCUUUCUCUCUUCAGCUCCAAAAAAAAAGUGGCAGAGCCAGAAUCUGACAGAACUUUGUGAAAUGCUGAAGGUGGUGGAGAACAUGAAGAAACGGUUACUUGCUACGUACUUGUACAAAUACCAGAGACUGUGUCAGGCAGUAGUUACAAAAGCAGUGGUGGGAGAUAUAAGACUCCUUGCUGCUGGGCAUCGAAGAGGCCAAAAGUACUAAUGAAUUGUGCAAGGGAUGAGACAAAUUCACUAAGGGUAUGUCCACCAGUGACUGCCUCAGGUAAUUCAAAACUAUCACUUCUUGGAAACUGUUUCAAUGGGAAUGAAUCACUCUGUGAUCCAUGUCCUAGUUCUUCUGUGCUUUCCCUAAACAUCUUUUCCUGGCCAGUAUAAGAAGGAGGACAUUUCUCAGUCACAUAACUGGUAGACUGGACACACCAGGAUGAACUAGAAGUUCAGAGCCCCGUCUCCUAUAUUUGGAUCCUAUAUUAGGGUCCUAUAUUGACCCUUUUGUACUAGUGAUGCUACCAUGGAAAGUCCUUCCCCUUCAGUAAGAGCUUGAGCCACUGAAACAGGAACCUUGAAGACAAAAUUGGAUUGUGAAAAUAAUAUGAAACAAGUAGAGUUUUGGCCCUAGUGAGACAUUCAGAAGUAUGCUCACAUUCGAAAUAUUUGAAUGAAUAUUUUUAGCAAAUGUGACAAAGGAUGUCUCAAUGCCUUUAUCAGCACAUUACAAUACAGGUAAACGAAAACAUUCUUCCCCAGGAAUCUCCAAUAUCUAAACCACCAGUCAAGACUUUUAAUAAAGAGGGAAGAGAAAUGAUUCCUUGGGAAAUU